rnacentral:lncRNA from 1 species
AAUAAUGCCUCGCAGAAGUUUAUGGGGCUGCCCUCUUUGAGACACAUGGUCAGUUGCCUUAGUUUUCUCGACAUUCCAUGCUUAUCUAUCAACUUCCCAGAAGUAUAAUAUUUUAAGUAGAAAUAGUUCAGUCCUGGUGAGCUAUUCUGGGAGAAAGAGGACAAGCUGCUUGUUCUCAGUGCAAUGCACCCUCUUGCUUCUCUGUCGUGGCCCCAUGGUCGUCUAGGUGUGGGAACGAGGGAAAUAAGAAAGGGUUACAUUUUGCUUACUGAACACCAGCAAGGAAGUUGUGAGCUGCCCCAUGGAGAGGCCUAUAUGACAGAGAACUGGUCAACAGCCAACAAAGAAUGGAGGGCCUCCGUGCAGCAGCCCAUGAGGAUCUGAAUCCCACCAAUCACCUUGCAAGGGAGCUUGGAAAAGGAUCCACCUAGGCUUGACACGACUGAUGUCCCGGCUGACUACAGGCUCAUAAGA